rnacentral:rRNA from 1 species
GUGGAUUAGAUACCCUGGUAGUCCACGCCGUAAACGAUGAGUACUAAGUGUUGGGGGAACCCAGUGCUGUAGUUAACAUAUUAAGUACUCCGCCUGAGUAGUACGUACGCAAGUAUGAAACUCAAAGGAAUUGACGGGACCCCGCACAAGCGGUGGAUGAUGUUGUUUAAUUCGAAGAUACGCGAAAAACCUUACCAGGUCUUGACAUACUCUGCAAAGCUAUAGAGAUAUAGUGGAGGUUAACAGAUGUACAGGUGGUGCACGGUCGUCGACAGCU